UACGGUGGGAGCAAGCGUUGUUCGGAUUUACUGGGCGUAAAGGGCGCGUAGGCGGCCUCUGCAAGUCGACUGUGAAAUCUCCGGGCUUAACCCGGAAAGGUCAGCCGAUACUGCAGGGCUAGAGUGCAGAAGGGGCAACUGGAAUUCUCGGUGUAGCGGUGAAAUGCGUAGAUAUCGAGAGGAACACCUGCGGCGAAGGCGGGUUGCUGGGCUGACACUGACGCUGAAGCGCGAAAGCUAGGGGAGCGAACGGG
rnacentral:rRNA from 1 species